ACUGUCGGCGGAGGGAAAAAAAAAAAAAACAGCUGCAUGACGGCAGAGCAGAGACAGAUGGAAGCAAAACAGCCAAACCAAUAAAUGAUAAACAAAUCCAGGAAAUAUUAACGAGCUCCACGUGUUUUGUAGGCACUUUGAGCUUUGCUUCCCGGUUUUUAUCCCCCCACCUAACCUUUUGGACGUUGUAGUUCUCUACAUGCCCACCAGAUGUCCCUCCCGCUCACUGCAUCAGCUGCAGCCCAUUACUUAUUCACGCUCACUUCUUCUUCCCCACAGGAGGAGCUGUGUGCUGCCAGACAAUUUGCUUCAGGAGAAAAUCCUGCGCUUGCCGACAACCAGUGAAUCAAAGAACUCGAUAUUAAACGCGGCUGCUGCUGCAGUGCAGACAGACGUUGAUGAGACCAGAGGAGGAAAUACGAGUAAAUGAAUUUUCUAAGGAUUUUUUUUUUUUAGUGCUCAUUUCACAAGUCAAGGUAAGUGAAGAAUCAAAAAGUUGAUUUAACUUAAUAUAAACUUCACAUUCACUUAGGUGACUCAUCCACCGCAGGGAGACGAGCAUUUGCUGUAGCUGCAGGGGGUCCGGCUUCAUCUGACAAAGUGAGAAAAUCAAAACAGAUUUUUUUUUUUUUUUUUUUCCCAGAGUAAAUAACUAAUUUAUCCUUCAGACGCUGGAAGACCGAACGGAUAAAAGAUAUCACUAAAUAUGGUGGAUUUCUUCAAGCAAACGCCAAAAGUGAGAGAGGUCGAUGUAUUCGACGCUGCUGCUACUUAUAAACGCACUUAACUUUAUACAGAAAGCAGUGAUUCAAAGAACAGAAAAUUCAGUUUUUGGAGGAACUUUUACCAAAAAGAAAAAAAAAAUCGACGACAAAUCCCAAAGCACCUCACGACCUUUACGAUCGAAGGGCCAUUUCUGCCUUCAGUCCAGGCAAAAUAAAGUCAUUUAGAGACACCAAUGUAACGUGAUCUCUGACAACUUAUAACUUCAUAUAGACAGAAAGAGCAACAGAAAGAAAUAUGUUUAGGCUUUCAAGUACAGAACAACACGCAUUUUGCUUAAAGGGGACAUUUUCAUCUAUUGUAUGUGAAUUAAGAAAAAAUUACUUUUAGUGUCAUUCUGAAUAACAGAAAAGCUGAAAAACUGCUAAAAACUUUAAUUUAUUAAAUUGACAUUCAUUCAAUAAUUUAGAUUCUGUGUUACAAUGAGGGUCUGCGUCAGAUUAAAAAUACCUGGUAAAACUAAUAUUAACCCUAAUAAUAAAUUAUAUGUUACUCAUUCUAAUCUGAAACGACUUGUUUUUAUUGACUGCCAGCAAAAAAAUCCUCAUCAAUAAAAGAAAAUUGACAACAUCAGUGUGUGUGUAUUUAAUAGAUUUAUUUUGCUUCACUUAUUGAGCUGAGUUAGUAAUAUGAAUAAGCAUUUCAAUGAUGUUCUAACUUAUUGAAUAUGACUAUAUAUUUAAAACAUACAAGUUGAGAGCAAAAUGCAACUGAGAACCUGUGCGGUUACCAUCUGCCCUCUGUUCAGUCUGACUAAACUUCAGCUGAUUUGUGCAAAACGAUGAAAAAAAAAACUUAUAACUUUGUGUCAUUCCCCAUCAACGUCCAUAUUUUGCACUUCUUUCUGUAGAUUCCCUAAAAACCUUAAAGACUGAAUGAAAGGCCGCCGUCUUCAACGCGACAGAAAUAUUUUGAAGAACUUGUAUUUUUAUAUUUAAAGCAAUAUUUCAGCAGACCAGCUCUUGCUGCCGUUGUAUUCCUUUACAAAGUCCUCCGUUGGGUCAAAUUGUUUCCACAGAAGAAGAAAUUCAAGUAAUCCAAGGUGGCGGGCGGUGGUGACAUUGAGACAAAGAGGAAAAAAGGAAGCAAUCACACAGACAGGUUGCAGAUGGCAGCACAGAGAGAGCAGAACCUGAGAAAAUUAAAUAUACCACUGUUCCUGAAGUCAAGCAGGGUACAGAUCCACACACACACCAACACAGACACACACACACACACACACACCCUGGUUUGGGGCCAAAUUAGGAAGCUAACUUUCUCCUCUGGUGGGCGCGGCGGAGGCUGAUGACUCACUCACAUUAAUCUUUCUGACGCUGCUCUCCAGCAGCGGCGAAAGAAGCCAACUGGAGCUUUCCCAUAAGAAAGUUCAAGUAAUGAUUCUGAUUCUCGCCUUACAAAGCCAUUUUUCAGACUAUGUCACUUAUGAGACCAUGAGUCGGUGAUUCAAGGGGGCAGCAGAGAGGAAAAAGGAGAAAGCGAAGUUGGGGAGAUUAUGAGCAAAGCGGGAACAGGAAGGAAACCUGGGCUGCGGAAGGAGAAGAGAGCUGGCUCAUCUCGGCUACAAAUCCUGGCCUGCUCCGGCGCCUGCGUGCCAAACAAGAGGGAACAAGUGACAGGAAAGUGUUGCAUCUCCUCCGAUGGAGCUCCAAAGUUUAACUUCGCCUUCAGCUUCUCAACUUAUGCAACAAGCACAUUUCAGUGAAGGGUUUAUAAUUUAACCAGGGGGCCACAGACGAAGGAUUGGGGUCAGGGUAGCAGCGAACACCAAAACACUCCUACAACAAUCCUGCAGGACACGCCAACACACGCGUACACACCGAGGAGGUCCUGGAUGCUUCGGCUUCCAUUGUUAAAAAUGAAAAUCGAUACGAUUUAUUGGUUUUCCAUCUCUAACUACACACUUAUUGUUGAUGUUUUCGCAGGAAUCUACGAGCGCUUUGUAGAUGCAGGAUGUUGUGGGCAUUUGCCACCUCUCAUUUCGUUUCGCAGCCAAGUUUGCGCUUGAAUUCAAGGAUAAAGGCAAGGUUUCCGCACAGAUGGUAUUUCAGACGCACCUCGCAAACCAGAUUCCAUCAAGUUAUUAAUUCUCACGUUUCAGUGUUGCCUGUGGCCACCAGAGCUGACGCCCGCGAAGACGAUGAGGCGCUCCUGGCUGCAGUUGUCAUUUUAGGUGAGGAUGCAUGGGCUUUGGCGGCGCGUUAGAAGCACAGCAGAUGGGCUAGGGAUUUUUUUUUUCUUUCUAAGGCGGAUGAGCGACAGAACGCCGGUGGGAGGAUGUUUCUAUCUUGCUCUCGCUGCUGCCUAAUCGGUUAUUUUCUCAAUCUGUUGCUUCGCGUCUCCUUGUCUGUCUGCAUUUGUCUAUAAGUUGCAGUGCAGGGGGGGGAGAUCAUUUCAGCACAUGGGGCCGCAGGGCGAUGAGAAAGCACAAAGAAACUGACAAUCACAAUAACAUCACCGCUGGGUUAGCAUGCAUUACCUCGGCAACUCGGGCUUUCACGUUUUCCCAGCUCCGCGUACGAUAAAGGGGUUUGUCGUACUUCAUUGUUGCAAAAGUUUACGCUUGGUCAUGCCCUAAAUGCACCUCGAGUAAAAUGAUUUCUUUGAUUUAAAAGACUUCACAAUCUGGAGGUUUUUGAAACGGCUCAUAUUUCAGACACCAAAAAAAUAAUAAAAUGUUUUACUUAUUGCUAGAAAAACGGAUGGACUUUUUAAGCACUUUCUAGAAGCAGUAAAAAAAGUGUAAAUUUGCAUAAGACGUCUCCUAUAAUAUCUGGAAAUCUAAAAUACUCUCUUAAAUGGUAAAACAAAAACUAUAAAACACCGAGGAUAAUACAAACGCAAACAGCGUGUGUUAGGAAAAUUAUCCUCCUGAGUUCGCUAUUUGGGACAUCAGAUUUCUGAAAAUGGGAAAGAAAUACAUGAUGAGCGAAAAUCUGCAAUAUCGAAUGCUCCAAAGCCUGUAACAAAAAAACAGAUGAUGGCUUUUCUAGGCCUCUGUAAUUAUUGCAGAGCCUGGAUCCCACAGUUUGCAGAAAAAACACAACUGCUACUUAAUCUCAUUUAUGAGACUCCUAUGGCCAUGUCUGAGGUGAUAACAUGGACACCUGAAGCUGAAAAACAGUUCACAGAUUUGAAAACAGAGCUUAUCUCAUCCACAGUUCUUGCGCUACCUGAUUACAGGAAGCCGUUCGUUCAAACUGUUGAUUGUAAAAAUGGGUUUAUGUGUUCAGUCCUGUUACAGUCUCAUGGAGGAAAAUUCAAACCUAUCGCAUAUUAUUCCAAACGGCUAGACUCAGUCGCAUCUGCACUUCCUUUAACCCUAACCCUAACCCUAACCCUACCCUAACCCAUUUUCUACAGUUUUCUUUUUUGCUAAACAAUGGGAACGCAGGGGUAUGACUACUAGUACUGGCAAAUCUGUUACACAUGCUAAGCUCCUGUUAUCGCUGCUUCAAGCUAUACUCUUGCCAUCUAAGUUGGCCCUUCUCAAAUGUGUUGCUCACACUAAAGGGACUGAUUUUGUGUCAACUGGUAAUCGUUAUGCAGAUAACACGGCUAAGCUAGCUGCUACAGGCGCUUUUGGUGUGUCAGAAAUAUAUCAUGCGACAUCACAGGAACUUCUUAUUGAUCUAGAAAUUCUCCUGUCACACCAACAAGCUGCUCACCGUGCUGAACAACGCUCAUGGUUCAGUAAGGGUGCUGUUAAGAACACAACAGGCCUUUAUAUGCUUAACAAUAAACCUAUUCUUCCUAAAAGUCUUUUUAAUGCUGCAGCAAUUCUGACUCAUAGUUGUUGCCAUGUGUCCACAGGUGGGAUGGUUCACAUAAUUCAGCAGCAUUUUUCAGUGUUUGGGUUUAAUGUAUAUGCUAAAACUUUCUGUAGAGCAUGUACAAUCUGUGUAAAACAUAAUCCACAAGGAAAUGUUCGACCAAAGAGGGGUCAAUUUCCUAAGCCACAAUACCCAUUUGAGACUAUGCAUAUGGAUUUCAUUGAACUUUCUCAAAGUGGUCCCUAUAAAUAUUGCUUAGUGAUGAUUGAUGCUUUUUCUAAAUGGGUUGAAAUUGUCCCAGCAAAACAUGCGGAUGCACUAACUGUAGCUAAAGCAAUAUGUAGAACUAUCAUUCCAACUCAUGGCAUCCCACAGAAAAUCUACAGUGACAAUGGUCCACAUUUUGUGAAUCAAGUCAUUCGGUUAAUGGCAGACAGAUUGCAGAUAACAUUAAAAAAAUCACUGUUCGUACCAUCCCCAAAGCGCAGGGUUAAUUGAAAGAGCAAAUUCUACUGUUAAAUCCAGACUUAAAAAAUGUAUGGAAGACACUAAAAGGCCAUGGCCAGAGUGUCUGGAUUUAGUGAAAAUGUACAUGAGAAUUGUGCCCACUGGGAAUGGUUUAACUCCUUUUGAAAUAGUACACGGCAGAGCUUUUAAGCUUCCGUUAUUUAAAGACACCACACCACCACCAGAUGACAGUGAAAAAACUUUAGCUGAUUACAUGAAAGAAAUGUUACAGUCUAAAGAAGUGUCAAAUGCAAAUUCACUGCCAGAAGAACCUUUGUCUUCACAGGACCUCCAGGUGGUGAAACCAGGCGAUUGGGUUUUCAUCAAGGCCAUUAAGAGACAGAACUGGGCCUGCCCACGGUGGGAGGGACCGUUUCAAGUGCUUUUGACCACUCCCACUGCAGUAAAGAUCGCUGAGAGACCAUCCUGGAUUCACCUCAGCCACUGUAAGUUGCAGAGAGUGUUGGAGACCUAGGUGGGGGCAGUGGGGAAGAUCUGACUACAAAGGGGCGUGGCUAUAUAGGGUCACACAUCUCAACGUCAGCAGAAGAACUCAUCACAUCCCUGUUCCAUAGAGUCCUAGGUAAACUCUAACAUCUCUGUAACUGAGCAAAGAUGGGGUCCUCAUGGAGAUGGGGCCUCUUUUGUGCUGUGGCUGCUGUGUGCCUGUCCUGUUUUUUCAGUCCAACCUCACUGAUCCAUCUGGGGAGAAGAUUUGUCCAUACCACUGCUAUGAAGAUCUGGCUAGGACACCUUCCAGACCAUCACCAUGACAACAUAUGGCAGACUUAUGUGGAGAUGUUGGCCAAAGAACGGAACAUGACCAACUGCUACGUCUGCUCGGUGAUGCCAAAGUCUACCAGAAAACCUACUCUGUAUGUCAGUCCCAUGUCCCAUGUGGACACCUCGAGGAAAUUAUCCCACUGAGGGUGGUUGGUUUCUGUGUGGAGGAAGUAAUAUCUAUGCGUCGCUACCCAUGAACUGGUCAGGUACUUGUGCUCCUGUGUUUGUCUCUGAUCAUACCAUCAUUGUAUCUACUGCAGCAGUACACUCCCAUCACCUGCGACGGCGGAGAAAUUCAGAAAUUGUUUUCCAGCCACAUGAUCCUAUCUGGGGUUCAAAUGUUCCCAAAGAACACAAACAUUGGAGUACUGCUGAGAAAUGGGGACUGUCAAUUUUUCCAUGGGUAGGAGCAGCAAAAUCUAUGCUGAUGAUUGAAACUUUGGAUUACAGGAUGAAGACCCUGGUAAAUAUUACCAUGGACAUUGAGAGAGGACAGAAUCAACAACUUAGUGAAAUGCGACUGAUGGUUCUCCAAAACAGGAUGGUGUUGGACAUACUUACAGCUAGUCAGGGUGGUGUGUGUGUAAUGAUAGGAACAUCUUGUUGUACUUAUAUUUCUGAUGCUAAU